GACGUAGGGCGCGAGCGUUGUCCGGAUUUAUUGGGCGUAAAGAGCUCGUAGGCGGCUUGUUGCGUCGGCUGUGAAAACCUGGGGCUCAACUCUGGGCGUGCGGUCGAUACGGGCAUCACUUGAGUUCGGCAGGGGAGACUGGAAUUCCUGGUGUAGCGGUGAAAUGCGCAGAUAUCAGGAGGAACACCGGUGGCGAAGGCGGAUCUCUGGGCCUUACCUGACGCUGAGGCGCGAAAGCUAGGGGAGCAAACAGG
rnacentral:rRNA from 1 species